AAUAUCCUAAGUCUAGCCCAAAUGGGUAAAGCCCAAUAGUAUAAACCAAUAAACCCAUACUCCCUUCCUCUCAUUCAACUUCACGUGAAAACUAAAACAAAGCAAAAACCUCCUUCUCUGUUCUUCCUCCUUCACGUUCGUUUGCUCCUCCUUGCGCAGCCACCACCUCACCACCGUCGGACGCCGCCUCCGUCGCUGGUAACCUCCUUCUUCUUCGUCGUCCUUCUCCUUCCUCUCCUUCUCUGUUUCUUCUUCAUCCCCGUUUUUCUCCCCUCCUCAAGCUUCUGUUUUUCCUUGCACAGCCGCCGCGGCCCAGCUGCGACCACCAAGCCAACCGCACCGCACCACCUGCACCUUCGCCGUGGCCCUGCCCAUUCGGCUUGCUCGUCCCUCCUUCCUCCUCCACGCAAGCACAGCAUUCUCUUGUUUCGGUUUGUUUGCGGCAGCCACCACCACCGCACGCACCACCAGGCCUGACAACCUCCGCAAGCCGCCGCCUUGCCGCCGCCGUGAUCUGUCCGCCGACCAACCCUUCCCUCUUCUCUUUUUGGCGGAGAAUUCUCUCUAGGCGACUUUUGAAAGUGUUAAAGUGGCCUAUCAGUUUGUUUACACAAGUCUCUAAGGAUCAAUAAGCAUUGUCCAUCUGCAGGUUUGAAGAUGUUGCAUCAUUGGGAUCGGGAAUAGAGAGCUUGUAUUUAGUUUUGAUUUGCUAAGUUAACUUGGGUUUGUUAAUUGGGACUUUAAACUUGUCGUACUAUUUAUAUUUCCUUAUUUUCGUUGGAUGAUUCUUGGGGACUAAAUCUGUAAUAGAUUAUUUAUAAACCUAAAGUUAGUUUUAUGUUUUCCGCUGCAAAA